UACGUAGGUGGCAAGCGUUGUCCGGAAUUAUUGGGCGUAAAGCGCGCGCAGGCGGUUUCUUAAGUCUGAUGUGAAAGCCCACGGCUCAACCGCGGAGGGGCAUUGGAAACUGGGGGACUUGAGUGCAGAAGAGGAGAGCGGAAUUCCACGUGUAGCGGUGAAAUGCGUAGAGAUGUGGAGGAACACCAGUGGCGAAGGCGGCUCUCUGGUCUGUAACUGACGCUGAGGCGCGAAAGCGUGGGGAGCGAACAGG
rnacentral:rRNA from 1 species